rnacentral:rRNA from 1 species
GAUGAACGCUGGCGGCGUGCCUAAUACAUGCAAGUCGAGCGAACGGACGAGAAGCUUGCUCCUCUGACGUUAGCGGCGGACGGGUGAGUAACACGUGGAUAACCUACCUAUAAGACUGGGAUAACUUCGGGAAACCGUAGCUAAUACCGGAUAAUAUAUUGAACCGCAUGGUUCAAUAGUGAAAGACGGUCUUGCUGUCACUUAUAGAUGGAUCCGCGCUGCAUUAGCUAGUUGGUAAGGUAACGGCUUACCAAGGCAACGAUGCGUAGCCGACCUGAGAGGGUGAUCGGCCACACUGGAACUGAGACACGGUCCAGACUCCUACGGGAGGCAGCAGUAGGGAAUCUUCCGCAAUGGGCGAAAGCCUGACGGAGCAACGCCGCGUGAGUGAUGAAGGUCUUCGGAUCGUAAAACUCUGUUAUUAGGGAAGAACAAAUGUGUAAGUAACUAUGCACAUCUUGACGGUACCUAAUCAGAAAGCCACGGCUAACUACGUG